rnacentral:tRNA from 1 species
GGGCGAGUGGUUUAGUGGAAUAACGCUUCCUUCACGUGGAAGAGGCCGCAGGUUCAAUUCCUGCCUCGCCCACCA